CGUGUUUGAAUAUAUAUAUCAAUCCAAGAAGAUAAUAAAACAAAACUGCAAACAUUGUUCGUCCUCUUUUUAAAACAAACUGCUAUCAAGAAUCGUCGGUGCUGAUUAUCCGGAUUAAAACUGUUAUUGUAGUAGGAAAAAAUGGCGAAAUUUACAAUUUUGUUUUCAUUUCUGGCGAUUGUACUGGCAAUUUUUAUGCUGUGUGGAUUAACAUCAGCAAACAACUCUACGUCCACUCCACCGGCCAAGACAACACAUCAUCAUUCGUCUGCUUCGGCUUUGCUCACAGCGGUUCCAUUGCUAAUAAUUGGAGUGUUUUCGGCUCUGAAACUGAGAUUUUGAUUCAUCAUGGCAUGGACACCUAGAAUAAAUUAAGCAUUAAAGGAACAUUAUACCUCAGAAAUUAACACAUUUUUAUUUCUUUAGAAAUGGUUGGGAUGAAUUUUAUCCCGUUUGAAAAAUAGUUUUAUAGAGAAUAUUAUAUAUGCUUGUUACCUGGAGAUAUUAGUGCAAAAUGUGACAUAAUUCGUCAUGAAAAGUAGUAAAAUGUAAACAAAUUAAUAGUUUGACUUCCAAACAAAAUGCUUGCUCACUGUAAAUGUACUUAUUGCCAAAGAGUAACAGAAGAAAAGAGACCCAGGUAAUUGACAAAUGAGUAAACGUUUUUGUGAAAUAAAAUAAGUAUUUUCUGGGGCGUAAUGGGUUUUUAAAGCAGAGACAUAUAUAGGCUUAUGCUUUUUUACAUAAUGUAUAUUUCUGCCAUAUGUAUAUUUCUAAACUACAUGUAGUAUACUGAUUUACAGUCAACUCCUAUGACGAUUUUAUAUUCAAAUAUCUCUAAAUCUAUAUUCUGAUUUUUUUUUUAAAAAUCAGUCGCCGAAUUUGUGACUUGAAAUCUUGAUCGUUCCGGGUUUAUUCUUUUUUUUUGAAAUUUUGUCAUCCGUGACAAUUAUGGUCGUUUAUUUAAGAAUAAUCGAUCUUUGUCAUCCGUGACAUGGAUGGUCGUUUACAUAAGUAUAAUUGAUCUACAUGCAUUUAAAGCAUACAAUCAUAAAUGAUAUUACUAUAUUAGAAAGAGAUUGUGCUAUGUGUUUAACUAUGAAAUUUUGGAUAAACCACUGGAAGUUAUGAAGGAUUUCUUUUUUGUUCACAAUUCGCUUUUUAUUUCCUUUUUACUUUUUAAGUUGAUUCUUUUAAAAUACCAUGUUCAUAUUUUGAAUAAAAAAGAACAAAUUU